CCUACGGGUGGCAGCAGUAGGGAAUAUUGCUCAAUGGAGGAAACCCUGAAGCAGCAACGCCGCGUGGGGGAUGAAGGUUUUCGGAUUGUAAACUCCUUUUGUUAGAGAAGAUAAUGACGGUAUCUAACGAAUAAGCACCGGCUAGAUCCGUGCCAGCAGCCGCGGUAAUACGGAGGGUGCAAGCGGUACUCGGAAUGACUGGGCGUAAAGAGCGCGUAGGCGGGAUAGCAAGUCAGAUGUGAAAUCCUAUGGCUUAACCAUAGAACUGCAGUUGAAACUGUUAUUCUAGAGUAUGGGAGAGGUAGGUGGAAUUCUUGGUGUAGGGGUAAAAUCCGUAGAGAUCAAGAGGAAUCCUCAUUGCGAAGGCGACCUGCCAGAGCAUGACUGACGCUGAUGCGCGAAGGCGUGGGUAGCAAACAGGAUUAGAUACCCGGGUAGUC
rnacentral:rRNA from 1 species